AUUGAACGCUGGCGGCAGGCCUAACACAUGCAAGUCGAACGAGUGGCGGACGGGUGAGUAAUGUCUGGGAGACUGCCCGAGGGGGGGGGAUAACAACUGGAAACGCUAGCUAAUACCGCAUAUCAUCGGAUGUGCCCACAUGGGGUUAGAUAGUAGGUGGGGUAACGGCUCACCUAGGCGACGAUACCUAGCUGGUCUGAGAGGAUGACCAGCCACACUGGAACUGAGACACGGUCCAGACUCCUACGGGAGGCAGCAGUGGGGAAUAUUGCACAAUGGGCGCAAGCCUGAUGCAGCCAUGCCGCGUGUAUGAAGAAGGCCUUCGGGUUGUAAAGUACUUUCAGCGGGGAGGCGUUACCCGCAGAAGAAGCACCGGCUAACUCCGUGCCAGCAGCCGCGGUAAUUC
rnacentral:rRNA from 1 species